rnacentral:rRNA from 1 species
AUGAACGCUAGCUACAGGCUUAACACAUGCAAGUCGAGGGGCAGCAUCAUCAAAGCUUGCUUUGAUGGAUGGCGACCGGCGCACGGGUGAGUAACACGUAUCCAACCUGCCGACAACACUGGGAUAGCCUUUCGAAAGAAAGAUUAAUACCGGAUGGCAUAGUUUUCCCGCAUGGGAUAAUUAUUAAAGAAUUUCGGUUGUCGAUGGGGAUGCGUUCCAUUAGGCAGUUGGCGGGGUAACGGCCCACCAAACCUACGAUGGAUAGGGGUUCUGAGAGGAAGGUCCCCCACAUUGGAACUGAGACACGGUCCAAACUCCUACGGGAGGCAGCAGUGAGGAAUAUUGGUCAAUGGACGAGAGUCUGAACCAGCCAAGUAGCGUGAAGGAUGACUGCCCUAUGGGUUGUAAACUUCUUUUAUACGGGAAUAAAGUGAGCCACGUGUGGCUUUUUGUAUGUACCGUAUGAAUAAGGAUCGGCUAACUCCGUGCCAGCAGCCGCGGUAAUACGGAGGAUCCGAGCGUUAUCCGGAUUUAUUGGGUUUAAAGGGAGCGUAGGCGGGUUGUUAAGUCAGUUGUGAAAGUUUGCGGCUCAACCGUAAAAUUGCAGUUGAUACUGGCGACCUUGAGUGCAACAGAGGUAGGCGGAAUUCGUGGUGUAGCGGUGAAAUGCUUAGAUAACACGAAGAACUCCGAUUGCGAAGGCAGCUUACUGGAUUGUAACUGACGCUGAUGCUCGAAAGUGUGGGUAUCAAACAGGAUUAGAUACCCUGGUAGUCCACACAGUAAACGAUGAAUACUCGCUGUUGGCGAUAUACAGUCAGCGGCCAAGCGAAAGCAUUAAGUAUUCCACCUGGGGAGUACGCCGGCAACGGUGAAACUCAAAGGAAUUGACGGGGGCCCGCACAAGCGGAGGAACAUGUGGUUUAAUUCGAUGAUACGCGAGGAACCUUACCCGGGCUUAAAUUGCAACUGACGGAACCGGAAACGGUUCUUUCUUCGGACAGUUGUGAAGGUGCUGCAUGGUUGUCGUCAGCUCGUGCCGUGAGGUGUCGGCUUAAGUGCCAUAACGAGCGCAACCCUUACGGGUAGUUACCAUCAGGUUAUGCUGGGGACUCUACCCGGACUGCCGUCGUAAGAUGUGAGGAAGGUGGGGAUGACGUCAAAUCAGCACGGCCCUUACGUCCGGGGCUACACACGUGUUACAAUGGGGAGUACAGAAGGCAGCUACACGGCGACGUGGUGCUAAUCCCAAAAGCCUCUCUCAGUUCGGAUUGGAGUCUGCAACCCGACUCCAUGAAGCUGGAUUCGCUAGUAAUCGCGCAUCAGCCACGGCGCGGUGAAUACGUUCCCGGGCCUUGUACACACCGCCCGUCAAGCCAUGAAAGCCGGGGGUACCUGAAGUACGUAACCGCGAGGAGCGUCCUAGGGUAAAACUGGUGAUUGGGGCU